GUUCAUCCUCGUAAUUUGCAUAUUAUACAUCUGAGAAAAAAUUCAUAAAACAAAAAAAAUUUUCUUUGGUUGGAAAUUUUUACAAAAUGUGCAUAAAAACAUAUCAGAAAACAUGAUAAAAUUAGGAUGAGAUUGAAUUUGAAUAAUAUGCAAUUUAACACAUUGAAAUUGAAGUAUGCUUUUGGAGGUCAUUUUAUUGUCCUUGUUUUGCAAGCAACUUCCACUGAUGACCAUCUCCAAAUGACCUUUGACUACUUCAGCUUACAAGAACUACUACUCUGUUUACAAGUGAAAUUGGAACUGCAUUUGUUUCAGUGUGGGGAAAAGAUUUAGGGCUGUUUGAAAUGCAAUCUCUUUGUUUUGUAAUUUUGAUAAGGAAGUAUCAAAUUACAUAUUUUACUAAAAAACAGCAACAUGAUAUAGA
rnacentral:lncRNA from 1 species